GAUGAAGAACGUAGCGAAAUGCGAUAAGUAAUGCGAAUUGCAGAAUUUCCGUGAGUCAUCGAAUCUUUGAACGCACAUUGCGCCCGCCAGCAUUCUGGCGGGCAUGCCUGUUCGAGCGUCAUUUCAACCCUCAGGCCCCCCCUCUCGGGGGCCUGGCGUUGGGGACCGGCCCCGCCCCUGCGCGGGUCGCCGCCCCCUAAAUACAGUGGCGGUCCUGCCGCAGCCUCCUCUGCGUAGUAGCUCUUGAAACCUCGCACCGGAGCGCGGCUCGGCCACGCCGUUAAACCCCCAACUCUCUGAAGUUUGACCUCGGAUCAGGUAGGAAUACCCGCUGAACUUAAGCAUAUCAAUAAGCGGAGGA
rnacentral:misc_RNA from 1 species